rnacentral:pre_miRNA from 1 species
UUUGUACUCCCUCCGUCCCAAAAUUCUUGUCUUAAAUUUUUCUAAAUACGGAUGUAUCUAGUUACAUUUUAGUGUUAGAUACAUCCAUAUCUAAACAAAUGCAAGACAAGAAUUUUGGGACGGAGGGAAUACUAC